rnacentral:tRNA from 1 species
GCGGGUGUAGUUCAAUGGUAGAACUGUAGCUUCCCAAGCUACCGAUUUGAGGCUGGUCCUCGUCGACAUCCAGCCAAUCCCGCC